CAGCCGCCGCGGUAAUACGUAGGUGGCAAGCGUUGUCCGGAAUUAUUGGGCGUAAAGCGCACGUAGGCGGCUUUGUAAGUCAGAGGUGAAAGCCUGGAGCUCAACUCCAGAACUGCCUUUGAGACUGCAUCGCUUGAAUCCAGGGGAGGUGAGUGGAAUUCCGAGUGUAGAGGUGAAAUUCGUAGAUAUUCGGAGGAACACCAGUGGCGAAGGCGGCUCACUGGACUGGUAUUGACGCUGAGGUGCGAAAGCGUGGGGAGCAAACAGGAUUAGAUACCCCCGUAGUCCUGUCUCUUAUACA
rnacentral:rRNA from 1 species